rnacentral:lncRNA from 1 species
UUUUGUUCCACUUACUCACAAAUAGACAAUACUUCAUCGAAUGCUACUUUUUGUCGAGUUUACUCUUGCACCCCCUCGUGCUGGAUAGCCACUAGUUUCUUCUUCACUACUCUUGCUUACCUCUCCUUUAUCAAGGAACAAUUAUUGGACAAUACAGAGAUAACUUGUGUCUUUCUUGGGAGACGCCACACCCAUUAACGUCUCGGAUUCAC